CGAAGUCGGUUCGGCAAUCCGACGAACCUACGCAAAGAUAUCGCCGAAAAGACGUUUUCGGCAUCAAUUGGCACGAGCGCGGGUCGCGGUUCUCGGGAAAGUACGGAAAGUGGAUUUCUCGCGUUCAGCCGAAAUACAAGUGUGGACUGAUUGUGCAGUGAGCAAGCAGUUUAGCAUCUGAUUAAGUGGCCGAAAUGAUGAGGAGGGCCAUUUGAAGCUGUGAACUAGUUGAUCCAGCAUCUAAUGAAGAAGAGGAUCAGUUGAUGCAGUGAACAAGUUUAUUCAACAUCAACUUACAAGUUGAAGCUGAAGUUGCAAUCCUUGUGGAACUUGGUGAAUUGCUGAAGCAGGGAGCCAGAAAUCAGCAAAGGAAAUCUGAAUUUGAGGUAAUCGAUGUAAACU